GACGAACGCUGGCGGCGUGCCUAAUACAUGCAAGUCGAGCGGACGGAUGGGAGCUUGCUCCCAGACCGUCAGCGGCGGACGGGUGAGUAACGCGUGGGCAACCUGCCUGUAAGACUGGGAUAACUCCGGGAAACCGGGGCUAAUACCGGAUAACUCUUUCCCUCACAUGAGGGAAAGCUGAAAGAUGGCAUCUCGCUAUCACUUACAGAUGGGCCCGCGGCGCAUUAGCUAGUUGGUGAGGUAACGGCUCACCAAGGCGACGAUGCGUAGCCGACCUGAGAGGGUGAUCGGCCACACUGGGACUGAGACACGGCCCAGACUCCUACGGGAGGCAGCAGUAGGGAAUCUUCCGCAAUGGACGAAAGUCUGACGGAGCAACGCCGCGUGAGUGAUGAAGGUUUUCGGAUCGUAAAACUCUGUUGUCAGGGAAGAACAAGUACCGGAGUAACUGCCGGUACCUUGACGGUACCUGACCAGAAAGCCACGGCUAACUACGUG
rnacentral:rRNA from 1 species